CUCCCACAGUGCCUACCCUAACAGCACCAAAUCUGUUUCCAGGCAGUGGGCAAGCAGGGCUGAGAAUUGCCCCAGACUACCCACCUCCCAGCUGCAAAGGAAAAGGGCUCAGUUCUUCCCCCACCUGUGGAGUCUGCAUGCUGGAUUUGCGUUCUCUCCAGAGUUCUGGCCAGGAGGCUUCUCGCCUGGUUCAAAUUGUUAUAAAGUUCAGCUGGAGACUUCCUUCUCCCUGCGGCAUUUUCCCCACACCUCUGGCUGCCCUCCUGAAGGAUCCUUGUGGUGCCAGUUGUUCUGGAGCUAAAAUUCAUGAUGUGAGCCUCCGUAUGCUGCUCUGUCUGUCCAAGUCGGAGCUGCAAUCUGGUUCUGCCUCCUGUCUGCCGAAAUGAUCGCUGUUGUAGUUUGUGUGUGUCUUCUUUUGAGAAAUGCCUUGCGCCCUCCCGCUCUUCCAGGAUAACUCAGGGCCUCCAUCUCCUCAUUUGAAAACUCCGUUCCUCCCCUUCACCUCCACCUGAUUAUUCAUGUGGUGAAGAAACUGGGCUACUUGUCCUGUAGAAUCGCCCAUAUUGUGGAUUUGGCCAUUGCUUCCACAUGAUGAUAAGAGAAUGUUACAUUAGCAGAGACAUCCAUUAAACAGGAGAGCUGAGGCCAUCUGACGCUAAGAAUCACAAUAACAGGCACAAAGCCAAAAGGGAAGGAAAACAGGGGCCAAAAUGAUGAGGGGAGCCAAAAAGCGUGAGAAGAAGCACUCUCAGCCUCACUGGCUCCUGACUUCUCUCUGAGUGAGUUCCAGCUUUCUGCAUCUCCCCUCCUUGCCCUGGCACCUCGGCCUUCAGGCAGGACGGUGGGGUGAAGGCAGCGAGGGAGGAAGGUGCUGGAGCAUCUCCCCCUCUGCCUGCACUGCUGGGCUAACACUUACAAAGGAAGAUUUGAAAAAUUCUUUGAAACUACACGCUCAAAGAAAGGACAAAUGCGCUUCCAAUCAAAUCAGUGUUGAAGGGGCAGCAUCUUUAUCAUCUGCCAUCCUUAGGAUUCAUUUCACAUUCAAAUAAAUAGAAAACUACUUGCAAAGGCAAAUUAGACCCAGAUUUACCCGCAGGUGGCAUUUCACGCCAUAACUUGAUGGCACUUCAUCAACAUCGGCUUUUCUGGGCUCACUGAUUUGUUCAUGCUAUAUGAAAAGUGCUUUACCAUAAUUUUUCAUUAUCCUCACAAGUUAUGCCAUUUGGAAUCAUGUAAGGUGGCUAAUGUUUCAGGGAUUCUUUUAAACACUUUACAAUCAGAGAUUCAAAGGCCAACUGCUGGUGACUCAGGGACCAUUAAGACAUCUGAGACAUGACCAUGAUUAAAGAUUAGUUGCGAUAGUUAUUUGGAUAUUAUAGAGUCUUUGAAAUUUAGAAACACUCACACAAACUAAUGACGAUGAGCAUCCGGGGCUUGGUGUUUCUCUGGUUCAGCUGCAGUAGAGGCGGGCGGCUCUCAAUUCAGGCUCACUCCAGGUCAGUUUCACAAGAAAACGCCAGUGCUGCCCCCAGCUCCCCUAGCUGCUAGGGCAGGUAUUUCUAUUUUCCAUGCAGCACAGAAGAGGGGGCCUCACCACAGACACCAGGAAGAAUAAUGUCAAACCCAUAGCAAUUCAAACCUGGGAGAAGCUUGACAACUGAGGAUUGGUCUUGUCAAUCCUACCAGCAGGUCUUGUCCAGUUUAAAAAAAUGAAAUACAACAGAAUGCAACAGAAUGGGAAACAAUCAGAGCACAUUAAAAGAAUAAGUACUACUUUGUGAAACUUUUCAGUUAUGUAUGUGGGUAUCAGUGUGUACUGAGGGUUGAGGAGAAAUGUAUUUUUAAAAUGUGAGUCAAGUUAAAAGGCCUCAAAGAAUGAUGCUCUAAGAAAUUAUAUACUGGAGACAGUCACAAUUAUAUAUUGGAUGACGAAAAACAAAAUAAAAAUUAAAAAUUAGAAAUUUAUAAUUUACCCCUGGAA